UAGAGGAGGUAUUUUAUUGGUUAUUUCCUACUAGCCAAUUGUAGUGCUUGUUAGUAGUGGCUCUGCCUUAUAUGCAUUUCAUAUUAACAAGAGCUUGCC